rnacentral:rRNA from 1 species
CCUACGGGAGGCAGCAGUGAGGAAUAUUGGUCAAUGGACGAGAGUCUGAACCAGCCAAGUAGCGUGAAGGAUGACUGCCCUAUGGGUUGUAAACUUCUUUUAUAAAGGAAUAAAACGAGGCACGUGUGCCUUUUUGCAUGUACUUUAUGAAUAAGGAUCGGCUAACUCCGUGCCAGCAGCCGCGGUAAUACGGAGGUUCCGAGCGUUAUCCGGAUGUAGUGGGUUUAACGGGAGCGUAGAUGGGUUGUUAAGUCAGUUGUGAAAGUUUGCGGCUCAACCGUAAAAUUGCAAUUGAUACUGGCAGGCUGGAGUACAGUUGAGGUAGGCGGAAUUCGUGGUGUAGCGGUGAAAUGCUUAGAUAUCACGAAGAACCCCGAUUGCGAAGGCAGCUUACUAGACUGUGACUGACAUUGAUGCUCGAAAGUGUGGGUAUCAAACAGGAUUAGAUACCCGAGUAGUC